AAAGAUAUUAAACCCUCGCUAACUGAUUUAAUGGUUUGAUUUAUUUAUGUUAUAUUAUUGUUAUAUUAUUGUUGUUUACAAGUCUAUUUAUGUCAUGCCUAAUUAUUAACAUCAAUUAUUUACCAUGAAAUAACAUUGUUUUAGAUUCCCUGCAGGAUGUCUGUUAAAAAGAAAAACUGAAGAAACUUUAAAACUAGAUGAUGCCAACUAAAGAAGUUGAAACACCGUUAUUCAUGGUGUCAUAUCGAGGGUUCAGUUCUCCAUGUUUGUUAGUUAUGUGGAAGAUAUGGCAUGGCAUGACACACUGCAUGUGGAUGAAAGCACUAAAGAAAACGAUAACGAUAAACUUUAAAGCAGAAUUUUUUCAUGCAAUUAUGAUGGCGAUAUGAGAGAACUAAUGUGGCAGAAUAUUAAUAUCGUAGAACAGUUUUGUAUCAAAUCAUUGUAUAAUAUUAGUUUUUUGUUGUUUAAAAAUAUUAUGAAAUUCAAA